CUUUCUCUUAUUAAGACAUGUAGAACCUUGGGACUUGGAUGGCCAAGUCGUUUAUGCCAGACGUCUGAAUUGGCAGCAUCUCCUCUUAUUGCAGCAAAUGUUAAUUAUUUAUUUUCUUCUAAGGCAUAUAGGUUGCCCUUUUUAAGCCCCCUUGCUAGGACCUGCUUCUCCUGAUUCUUAACAACAAAGCCAUCAGAGUUAAACUCAAAAGAACAUUUAUUAUCCUUAAUAAGUUGUCCAACAGAUAAUAAAUUUUUCUUUAAUUUAGGGACAACCAACACAUUAUUUAGUUUCAAUUUCCCAUAAUCAGUAUUUAGAGAUGCAUUACCAACAUGUGUAAUAUGAAGACCUUGACCAUUUCCCACAAAUCUUUUAUCAUUACCUUUGUAGAGAACUGGUUUGUCAAUAUUACCUUUGUUAUUUGUCAUAUGAGAGGUUGCACCCCAAUCUG
rnacentral:lncRNA from 1 species